rnacentral:rRNA from 1 species
GAAAGAUGGUUUCGGCUAUCGCUUACAGAUGGGCCCGCGGUGCAUUAGCUAGUUGGUAGGGUAAUGGCCUACCAAGGCAACGAUGCAUAGCCGACCUGAGAGGGUGAUCGGCCACACUGGGACUGAGACACGGCCCAGACUCCUACGGGAGGCAGCAGUAGGGAAUCUUCCGCAAUGGACGAAAGUCUGACGGAGCAACGCCGCGUGUAUGAAGAAGGUUUUCGGAUCGUAAAGUACUGUUGUUAGAGAAGAACAAGGAUAAGAGUAACUGCUUGUCCCUUGACGGUAUCUAACCAGAAAGCCACGGCUAACUACGUGCCAGCAGCCGCGGUAAUACGUAGGUGGCAAGCGUUGUCCGGAUUUAUUGGGCGUAAAGCGCGCGCAGGCGGUCUUUUAAGUCUGAUGUGAAAGCCCCCGGCUUAACCGGGG